CGUCUUUCUUGCAAACACUGAAAUUUUAUUCAAAUGAUGCCUCAAGCCAGAUUCUCCAGCUUUGACCGUGAGAGGAUUGUUUUAUUGUUUUCUCAUGCCGUUUCCUUUGCACGGUGCUCAAUGGGGAACCAUGUGAAUAAUGAUUAAUGGUGUUUUCUUCAAGUCCUUUAUAGCACCCUUCCAUGUGACUGUGCUGAUUCUCUUGGUGGUUCUGGUAACUGUUUUGUUGCUGGUCAGCCUUCACCAAAGUGAAGAUCAGCUGUCUGUGCUGCAACACUGAAAAAGACUUGGAGCUUCCCUGCAGGGACCCUCGAUACAGACAGUGAUAGCUGAUACUAUAUGUGAGGGAGCUGCCACGGCAAUUCCCGCUCAGAAUCAGGCCUCGCCACAGCCUUCAAUCCAUGUCACUCCUCUGCUGCCUGUCACUAAACAAAGAGGAGCAGUGGCCAGCUGCAGCAUCCGGGGACCAACUCCAGUUUUUCUUUCCAUUGCCUUGCUCAG